rnacentral:rRNA from 1 species
AGCAGCCGCGGUAAUUCCAGCUCCAAUAGCGUAUAUUAAGGUUGCUGCAGUUAAAAAGCUCGUAGUUGAAUUUCGGGACCAAUAUGUCGGUCGUGCCUCGGUACGUGCUGGCAUCGUUGGUUUCUCCUUUCUGACGAACCAUGAUGUCAUUAAUUUGGCGUUAUGGGAAGUUAGGACUGUUACUUUGAAAAAACUAGAGUGUUUAAAGCAGGCUUUAGCUUGAAUACAUUAGCAUGGAAUAAUGAAAUAGGACGUUCGAACCUAUUUUGUUGGUUUCUAGGAUCAACGUAAUGGUUAAUAGGGAUAGUUGGGGGCAUUAGUAUUCAAUUGUCAGAGGUGAAAUUCUUGGAUUUAUUGAAGACUAACUACUGCGAAAGCAUUUGCCAAGGAUGUUUUCAUUAAUCAAGAACGAAAGUUAGGGGAUCGAAGACGAUCAGAUACCGUCGUAGUCUUAACCAUAAACUAUGCCGACUAGGGAUCGGAUGAUGUUAAUUUUAUAAUGACUCAUUCGGCACCUUAA